UGCAUCACCUGUGACCUCCCUC
rnacentral:miRNA from 13 species